UACAGAGGUCCCAAGCGUUGUUCGGAUUUACUGGGCGUAAAGGGUGCGUAGGUGGCGAGGUAAGUUCGAUGUGAAAUCUCCGAGCUCAACUCGGAAAUGGCAUUGAAUACUAUCCCGCUUGAGGGUCGGAGGGGAGACUGGAAUUCUCGGUGUAGCAGUGAAAUGCGUAGAUAUCGAGAGGAACACCAGUGGCGAAGGCGAGUCUCUGGACGACUCCUGACACUGAGGCACGAAGGUCAGGGGAGCAAACGGG
rnacentral:rRNA from 1 species